UCCAGCCCACCCUCCAGUGCUGGCUGGGAAAGUGCUCUUCCAUCUGCGCCUUCAGAUCUAUACCUUGCCUAAUAAUUACUUAACUAACUGCUUGAGAUUUUGUGUGAAAAAAGAGGGAAAUCCCAUUCCUCGUUACUGUCAAUAGCCAAGUGGUUAGGGCACAAACCUUUCCAAAUCCUCACUCUACCUUAUUUGGAGCAGGGUCUUGAAUGUAGGUCUCUUAGGGUGUAAGGGUCACCCCUUACUCUUAGGGUGUUUAGCAUUCUGGUGUGAGACUAACACAAUCUCUCCUAUCUCCUGUGGACAACAUUGAAUGGUUGAAUCGAUAAAUAAAUAUUCCUUGAAGCACAGCCUCCCUUUGUCUGAGAUGUGCAACUUGUCCAAUGCCUGGAACUGUCCUUCCUAGAGUGUGAGAAAUACGACUCAAAGUCCCUCAAGCAAAGGAGUGAAUUAAAUAGCAGGCUUCUAAUGUCCUGCACAAAUGGUCUAGUCACUGGGCUAUUCCACAAGAGGGCACUGGCAAUGACACUGCCUCCUGUGUCUCUGCUUUGUUAUCCAGUAGAUAUGCUCUGAGAAGAUUCACCUGUGCAGGCUCUACAAGUAAGAUGAGCAUUUUCCUGCCUAGAUUUAGGCACAGAUUUAGGCACCUGGGAAACUACAUUCAUGAAAAUGGACCACCAACCAUGAUAUAUUUUAUUGAGGGCUCAGAUGAGACUGGGAACCAAGAAACGUAACUGCUUCCCUGGAUUAGAUUCUUGCCUUGUAAUUUUACUAACAAUUCCAAACAUGAAAAAUAAAACUUUUUAUGAAUGAAAAAGUCCAAUUGAUAAGGGCGUGUAUGGGCUCUGUCUUUAUUUUUCAGGUGUUUUUCAAAGGCUGGGUUACUUCUGCCUAUUGCAAAAAUGAGAUGCAAUGUGUCAUUGGGCAGAGGAAGUACACUAAAGUGUUUGCCACUGAAUGUAAAAAAAAUACGUAUCAAUGGGAAAACAUUUUAUGUUACUUAUCUUCUUUCCUACAUAAGUGAACACUUCAAUUAAACAGUUUUUAAGGAGAAAAUAAAAUAACAAUAAAGUCUGGGGAAAGAAAUGUUAGAAACAGCUGGUGGGCGUAUUCUCAGGGUUGUAUUCUUUCUCUUCUCAACAUCUGUGAUCAGUCUCAAAUAAUAAUAACUUUUGUCUUGUACAGAUUGCAUGAGUACUUAUUACGCUGCUGUCAAUGUUAAGGGAAAAUGCAGAAGGCAGUGCCUGAUUGAAGUUGCUGGACUGUGCAGUACCAGAUGCUCAGGGGCAAGAGGAACAUCCAUUCAGGCCACAGAGCAGCUGAGGAACUGUUACCUGGAGACCACUCUAGACCAUGCUAAAGCAGGCAGCAUAAGUCCUUGGACAGUCACCCUGCAGGGAGGAGAAAAAAAAAAGCCUGACAUAGAAGUGGAUCCUCUAUGCUUCAGAAAAUGGGGCCUGCUCAUAAAUUUUUCCUAUCAUGUUAAACUCUGGAUCCUUGCCUGGAUUCAAAAUUCAAACUGUAUUCAAUACCCUCACUGCAACUGAAUGGCAUUAGUUCUUGUAGCACCAGAGGGUCUAGACUUGAUCCUAAAAGUGCAUGGAAUGAGAACAAGUCUGAAUGUACAAUAAAUAAUUGUUGCUAAACCCA